rnacentral:rRNA from 1 species
GAUAAACGCUGGCGGCGUGCAUGAGACAUGCAAGUCGAACGAACGAGCUUGCUCGUUAGUGGCGGACGGCUGAGUAACGCGUAGGUGACCUGCCCCGAAGUGGGGGAUAACUGCCCGAAA